rnacentral:lncRNA from 1 species
CGGAGGAUGCAGGGGAGCCGAGGGAGGGAGGGCUGGGCGGUGAGGAGCGAGCGAGGCUCUCUCAGCACCUCCUCUGUGAGUUUCAGAGCUCGAUCGUGACUCAAUUUCCAGGGGUCUUUGCUGACAGCAAUGUGCCAGCCUGGCAGAUUUUUGUUUUUAAAGAAAGAAGGAAGGGGACCGGGGAUGGGAGGGGGGAAGGCGGAGGAAAGUCAUACAUUUCUUCUCCCCCCUCACCUUUCCAAAAGGGGGAAAAAGCCAGAGCAGGUAGAAGAGAGGAUGCUGAAGAAUGAAGACAUCUGGUCCAAAUAUACCAAAGCUUUAUGGAUCCAGAUGGCACUGGAAGCAAGAGGGAGCUGACAAAAGUCCAGCUUCAACCCAACUCCAAAAUCUCCUAUCAACCUUACUUCUGACUGGUGGGUGACUCCUCCCACCAACAGGAAAGGAGGAAGACAGGGCUAAGGAUCCCCAGAACCAUUUGUCCAAGGUACUGACCUCCUCCCUAUAUAACUCAUAGCACUCCCUAUCCCCCAUUGGGUGUCUUCCUUUAGGGCAACCCAACCAUUCAUCUCCUGCCACUGCCCCAGUGCAUAAGCUCUCUCUCCCCACAGCAGGGUCUGACGGGGCUCUCUAGAAAGGUUCGCCUCAGGGUUCUGUCUGUUGCUGGCUCUGCCUGCUGGGAGCCAGAAAGGGCACCUCCAAGCACCUGUACACCAUGAUGUCCAUGGACAGGGAAUGGGUCCUACCCACGGGGGAGACAAGUUUAUUUGGAUCUAGAAUAGCUUUUUCCUCAGCCAGCAUCUGACUACUGUCUUACUUCUCAGGUCUUUGAAUCAAAGUUUCUGGUUUACCUUUGAGUCCUGAGUGGGAUAAGUGGAGGAAAGAACUGAUAAGCUCCUGCCUGUCCUCCCUUCCGGCUAGUCAACAACAUCAUGUGAGGUAUAAAGGUAUCCUGCAAGGAAAAAGGAAAUACCAGCAUGAGCCAGUGGAAAAGGCAAUGGUGGGGGGCGGGGGGGGGUGUCAGAGGAUUUGGAUUUAACUCUUGCCUCUGCUACUUAGAACCCCAGUGACCUCUAAAAGGCUUUUCACCACUCUGCCCCUCUGGACUACCAGGAGUUCUCAACCUAGCACCCAUGAACUUGUUUUUAUAUUUUGAUAACCAUUUCAAUAGAAUUGAUUUUUGUAAUCCUAAGCAUUUUAUUUUGUGCAUUUAAAAAUAGUAUUGUGAGGAGUCCAUAGGUUUCACUAGACUGCCCAAGGGGUCCAGGACACAGAAAAGGUAAAGAACCCUAGGGACAAAUGAUCUCUAAGGUCCCUUCAGGCUCUGGGAAAACAGAACCUUGACUCCCUGCUUAUGUUUGGGGGAAGAAGGAAACACAGACGACAGGACACCUUUGAGAGUUACAUGUUGAAUUUAUACUGGGAGGAAGAAGCAAGCUUUACGUUGUGGAGAUAAAUGGUUUUCUUGUGUAAUCCUUUUUUUUUUUCUGUUCUGCUGUGUAUGUGAAAAUGCUCAUUUGUCUGCUGGUUAUUGGGUUCAGAAUCAAUAAAAUAAAUGCAAAUUAUUGGGGGGGGGAGUUC